rnacentral:rRNA from 1 species
UACGUAGGCAGCGAGCGUUGUUCGGAGUUACUGGGCGUAAAGGGUGUGUAGGCGGUUGUUUAAGUUUGGUGUGAAAUCUCCCGGCUCAACUGGGAGGGUGCGCCGAAUACUGAAUGACUCGAGUGUGGGAGAGGUGAGUGGAAUUCCUGGUGUAGCGGUGAAAUGCGUAGAUAUCAGGAGGAACACCGGUGGUGUAGACGGCUCACUGGACCAUAACUGACGCUGAGACGCGAAAGCGCGGGGAGCGAACGGG